AUACGUAGGGGGCAAGCGUUAUCCGGAUUUACUGGGUGUAAAGGGAGCGCAGGUGGUCAGACAAGUCAGAAGUGAAAGCCCGCGGCUUAACUGCGGGACUGCUUUUGAAACUGCCAGACUUGAGUGCAGGAGAGGUAAGCGGAAUUCCUAGUGUAGCGGUGAAAUGCGUAGAUAUUAGGAGGAACACCGGUGGCGAAGGCGGCUUACUGGACUGUUACUGACACUGAGGCUCGAAAGCGUGGGGAGCAAACAGGAUUAGAUACCCUGGUAGUCCACGCGGUAAACGAUGAAUACUAGGUGUCGGGCUCAUAAGAGCUCGGUGCCGCAGCAAACGCAAUAAGUAUUCCACCUGGGGAGUACGUUCGCAAGAAUGAAACUCAAAGGAAUUGACGGGG
rnacentral:rRNA from 1 species